GCUGGGACGCUAAGGCGCAUGAGCCACCGCCGCGUCAGCCCGAGCUACUACUGGGGGCCGCGUGAUCGCGGAUCCAGGAGAGGUGGGAGGACUGGAAAGACAAGUCACUGGACUAGCACACGCCCUGUCCAGAGGAGAUAUACCACCUGGUAUCUCGGGAUCAUGUGAGGGGCUCCAUCACACGUCUGAAGCAUCCGUGUUCUCACCUAUUCUAGCUCAACCCGUCCACCCAUCGGCGAUGCGAAGUGAGCCGCCUUAGCUGCUGCUUACUGUAUGCCAAAAUUAUGAAAAUCCUCCCAUCUAACCCUCACAUCGCCGAUAGGAAUAUACACCAUAAAUAUCCAACAAAGGAGAGCUUAAAGUGGGGAGUGAUGGAAUCCAACUGGUUUUUGUAAGACAAUAACUGCCCUCACGCGAAGCAAGAAGAAGCAGAAACUAUAACAUAAGGACCUGAGCCAAGUGCAGGCAGCAUGCAGGCCAUAAAACUUUCCAGGAGAAGGAACAACAUGCUCAAAGUCAUGACAGCAGGAAACAUUUUGGUAAGAACAAGCCACCAUAAGAAGUACAGAGAGGGUACAGCACAGAAUAAGGGAGCAUGGAGCUUCCUGGAGAACCUGGAAGGCUAUGAAAGGAAGGGCAUAACAAUGUUAUACAAGAUUUCAAGGAUGGACUAGGAACAAAGAUGAGGAU